GAGAAACCAGAAUAUAUAGGUGCUAAACAAGGGCCAGGUGAAGUGCUUAACGAAAGGAAAUGAGAAACAGUGCCAAACAGAAACAGUUGUGAGUGUGAGUACUGCACGAGGGCAUAUUAACUAAGGAGUGUUGUGACACAGGGGAGGUGUGGCUAUGGCUGCAUAAACUGAAACAAAAGUGAGUUAACUCUUAGAAUAGUAGAGAAAUGACCAGUGAGAUUGCAGGGGCAAGAUCUAUACACCAAAACUGCUUCAUUAAGCUAAAGUUGUUUUGAUGACUAUAGUGUCCCUUUAAUGUCCCUCUUCACUAGGUGCUCCGUAUUGUUGGUGUGUUUGAGUGUAUAACAGAGCUCCACAGCAAUAAUACUCCCAGUAAUGUGUCUGAGUGUAUAACAGAGCUCCACAGCAAUAAUACUCCCAGUAAUGUGCCUGAAUGUAUAACAGAGCACCACAGCAAUAAUACUCCCAGUAAUGUGCCUGAAUGUAUAACAGAGCACCACAGCAAUAAUACUCCCAGUAAUGUGUCUGAGUGUAUAACAGAGCUCCACAGCAAUAAUACUCCCAGUAAUGUGUCUGAGUGUAUAACAGAGCUCCACAGCAAUAAUACUUCCAGUAAUGUGCCUGAAUGUAUAACAGAGCACCACAGCAAUAAUACUCCCAGUAAUGUGUCUGAGUGUAUAACAGAGCUCCACAGCAAUAAUACUCCCAGUAAUGUGUCUGAGUGUAUAGCAGAGCUCCACAGCAAUAAUACUCCCAGUAAUGUGUCUGAGUGUAUAGCAGAGCUCCACAGCAAUAAUACUCCCAGUAAUGUGUCUGAGUGUAUAACAGAGCUCCACAGCAAUAAUACUCCCAGUAAUGUGUCUGAGUGUAUAACAGAGCUCCACAGCAAUAAUACUCCCAGUAAUGUGCUGAGUGUAUAACAGAGCUCCACAGCAAUAAUACUUCCAGUAAUGUGUCUGAGUGUAUAACAGAGCUCCACAGCAAUAAUACUCCCAGUAAUGUGUCUGAGUGUAUAACAGAGCCCCACAGUAAUAAUACUCCCAGUAAUGUGUCUGAGUGUAUAACAGAGCCCCACAUCAAUAAUACUCCCAGUAAUGUGUCUGAGUGUAUAACAGAGCUCCACAGCAAUAAUACUCCCAGUAAUGUGUCUGCGUGUAUAGCAGAGCUCCACAGCAAUAAUACUCCCAGUAAUGUGUCUGAGUGUUUAACAGAGCUCCACAGCAAUAAUACUUCCAGUAAUGUGUCUGAGCGUAUCACAGAGUUCCACAGCAAUAAUACUCCCAGUAAUGUGUCUGAGUGUAUAACAGAGCUUCACAGCAAUAAUACUCCCAGUAAUGUGUCUGAGUGUAUAACAGAGCUUCACAGCAAUAAUACUCCCAAUAAUGUGCCUGAGUGUAUAACAGAGCUCCACGGCAAUAAUAAUCCCAGUAACGUGUCUUCAAUAAAUGUGUUUAGAAAUCUGUUUGUGUAAAUAAAAUACAUUGUUCUUGUUAGAAAUUACAUUUUAGUUGUAUAAAUUGUUAUUAGAAAGUCUCAGAAUAGACCUGCCCAUGCCACGCCCCUAAAAUAAAAGUAUCGCUCUUUGUCCAUUGUCGGGAAGGUCUCUAUAACUGAUUGACUCCACAGAAAGCUGCAGUGAAGGCCUUGGCUUUCUAACACAGUGUCCCAGUCAGAUGAUGAUUUAUAAUCGGGCACCUGAUAUCACCUGAACUCUGAGAGGCGCUUUGUUUCCAGUGAUUAGAACAAGGUGAUUGGAUUAUUGCGAGCUAGCAUUGUCUAAAUGUUGCAGAUAAAGUGCAGGGUGAGAGUGGCGUGCCGAAGGACAAAGCUCGCUCAGUUAUCACAGUCUCAUAACGUGAGGUUUAUGGGUUCAAAGGCAUAGAUUAGACAUCAACAUAUAGAAUAGUAAAAAUAUUAUUAAAACAAUGAAUGUAGUAUGGAAAUAUAUAUAUACUCAGAUUAUAUAGUAGAUUAUAAAGUAUUAUAGAUUAUAAAGUAUUUUAGAUUAUAUUAUAAAUUAAAAAUGAACAACACACAAUCUAUUCUACACUAUACUACAAUAUCUCAACAUCACUAUGAUACAACGUAUCUGUCUUCUUCACUAUUACACAAAGCCUCAACAACGGAGGAUGCUGUGAUAUAUUGUAAAACAUGAUCAGGGUCUCACUAUACAAUGGAUUGUCAGCUCUUUGCGUUCAUGCUUUAACUCUGACAUAGUGCCUCGAGACUGCCCUGAAGAGCUUGCAUUUCUUUAUGGUUGGGUAUAGACGCUAUUUCCUCCUUUUUUCCCUUUUUUGAGUAUGCAGUGAACCUGUAUCAUUCCUGGGACAGCACAGAAAAUAUUGCUCAAUAUGUUCUACCCAAAUUCCUGUGCACUCUGCAGGUCAGCCACUGCAGUCUGCGAUAACAUGCAGGGGAACCUGGGAAAAAAAUCUGUGCUAAUAGAAAUCAAUAGUGAUUGCGCAGAGAGUGAAAUAAGUUCACGGACACGUUUAGAUAAACUUUAUUUGCUCUAUACAUUGAACCUAUUGGAAUGCUAAACAAUUAGUCUCUUUACCUUAAGACAGAAACAGUUUGCUCAGUUUUUCUUACAGUUUGUCUCACUUAUUAAGCAGACAUAUAAAGUGCAAAUUUAUCCAUUUAAUAGCCCCCUCUACAUGCCCACAGCCUCAUCUACAUGCCCAUACCCCCAUCUACAUGCCCACAGCAUCAUCUACAUGCCCAUAGCCCCUCUACCUGCCCAUAGCACCCUGUACAUGCCCACAACACCAUCUACAUGCCCAUAGCCCCUCUACCUGCCCAUAGCACCCUGUACAUGCCCACAACACCAUCUACCUGCCCAUAGCCCUUGUACAUGCCCAUAGCGCCCUCUACACAUGCCUGCCCAUAGCAACCUCUACCUGCCCAUAGCCCCUUUACAUGCUCACAGUCCCAUCUACAUGCCCAUAGCCCGUUUCAUGCCCACAGUCCCAUCUACAUGCCCAUAGCCCCUCUAACUGCCCAAAGCACCCUGUACAUGCCCACAACACCAUCUACAUGUCCGUAGCCCCUCUAAGUGCCCAUAGCCCCAUCUGCCUGCCCGUAGCCCCCUCUACAUACCCAAUACACCCUCUACAUGUAUGUGGCAUAUUAUAUAUGGCACCCUGUCUAUAUUAAUACAUUGAUAUCCUUUCUUUGCUGCUGAGGAAUAAAGAAAGAGAUAAGCCUAAUAUGAGCCUCCGUGUCCUUUAAUAAAAUUGCAAUAUAUAGCCCAAUACAUUUUGGCGGAUAUAACUGAUCUGAACAGAGCUGGACUGGGCAUUUUUUACAGUUCUGCUGUUUUGGUUUAGGUUAGUCCUUACAAUGCCAGUAGAUUAGAAUAAAGGUUUGCACCUCAUCCCCUUGGGCAUUUUCCUGACCCUCCUUGUGUGUCUCUCCUAAUUCCCUCAUUCCACCUUGUGUGUAUCUUGUGUCCUUUUACCAUCUUGUCUCUUAACACACUGUUACUUCUUGUGUGUCUCUCAAUCCCACUUACAUCGUGUAUGUCUUAACCCCUCUGAUCCUCUUUUUGCCCCCCCCCCACAUAAUUAGACAGUACAUGCAUAGAUGCCUACACAUACAAUCUCAUACACAUAUAGACAUAAGCACAGUCACAAGCAAAGACACACAAAUAAACACAGUUACAUACAGAGAAACCAAGCACACACAGUCACAACAUACAUAAUCACACAAUUACACACCCACAUCCAUGCCCAGACAGUCACAUACACCAGUCAUAUGCACACCAUAUCAGUCACAUAAACAGUCACAAAUACAGCCAGUCACACAGUGUAAGUAACAAAAGUCAACCACAGUCACAUACACACAGUCCUUGCUGCCAUGAGCACCGGGAGGAGGAGAGGAGGCCACAGUCCCUGGUGUCUAGUGGGGGGAUGUAGGCAUUUCUUCCUGCUACCUCUCUACACAGAGGUGUCUAUAGACCUGGCGAGGCCCUCUUAAACAGUGUAAAGGUUAUCUCUAUAAACUCAUUUGUAUAAACUUUAAAAUGUAAAUUUCUAUGUAUAAUAUUUUUAUUAUUUCAGUUUGCUGUGCAUGUACAGUGAUGUAUACAUCCCAAAUAUAUAUAUAUAUAUAUAUAUUACAUUAUAUUAUAGCCCUUAUACAUUAAUACACAUACAAACCCACAGAUCAUGUCUUAUACAUAAACAUACACACAUUGACAUACAGACACACAAUGUCACAUACAUAGGCACACACCAAUAUACACAGUCACAUACAUACAAAUCCACAGAUCACAUCUCAUACACGCACUGACAUUUGCACAUUGACAUACAGACACACAAUGUCACAUACACAGGCACACACCAACAUACACAGUCACAUACAUACAAAUCCCCAGAUCAUAUCUCGUACACGCACUGACAUUCACACAUUGACAUACAGACACACAAUGUCACAUACACAGGCACACACCAACAUACACAGUCACAUACAUACAAAUCCCCAGAUCAUAUCUCAUACACGCACUGACAUUCGCACAUUGACAUACAGACACACAAUGUCACAUACACAGGCACACACCAACAUACACAGUCACAUAUAUACAAAUCCACAGAUUAUAUCUCAUACACACACUGACAUUCGCACAUUGACAUACAGACACACAAUGUCACAUACACAGGCACACACCAACAUACACAGUCACAUACAUACAAAUCCACAGAUCAUAUCUCAUACACGCACUGACAUUCGCACAUUGACAUACAGACACACAAUGUCACAUACACAGGCACACACCAACAUACACAGUCACAUACAUACAAAUCCACAGAUCAUAUCUCAUACACGCACUGACAUUCACACAUUGACAUACAGACACACAAUGUCACAUACACAGGCACACACCAACAUACACAGUCACAUACAUACAAAUCCCCAGAUCACAUCUCAUACACAGACUGACAUUCGCACAUUCAUAUACAAACACACAAUGUCACAUACAUAGGCACACACCAACAUAGUCACAAAAUAACCAAAAUAGCCCAACUGAAAAUAUGUCUGACAUUGAAAUGCCCUUUAAAUUCCUGACAAUUAUUGUUUUAGUGUAAGUGUAUAACCUUGUCAAACAUGAACUAACACACACCAUCACAAUCAUCACAGACAUACAGCCUCAUAUUUGCACAAACACACAUCACCAUGCACACAGACACCCCAAAAGACAAUCACACAGAUAUACACACAUUAACACAGUCACAUAUUUUAAAAGACACACAAAGUCAGUCAUAUACAUACAUACUACAUACUCAGUCACAUACGUAAACACACAAUCUCAAACACAGUCACAGGUACAGAGUCAUACACUUACUUGAAUUAGGGUUCCGAUGAGGGUGUAACAUCACCUAUGCUUGGCAGCUUUUUUGUACUGGGGCGAUUGAGUGAUAUUGCGGGAGUAUCACUCAAUCGCUUACCUUGUCCAGAGCCAUCAUCCGCUUCCUUGCAGUGCCACCUCAUUCUGGUGCCCGUUCACAAAUGCCCCCUCUGUACCUGGUGGUCCAGUGAUGGCCUAUAUAUUCCCUGGUGGUCUGGUGGUUAAUAGCAUAGAGGGUUAGUUCCGAUCAUAAUAUCCUCACCUUUGUGGUUCUGGAGUUCAAUGUUGAGUCAGAGCGCAGGCUGGACAUCCGUGAGUCAUAACAGAGCUCCGGAACCACGAGGCAGAGAAUAUUAUCUGCACGUCCUGCUGGUGUGCACACCAUUGGACCACCAGGCAAUCAUUUUAUUUAAUAUUCCUGCCUCUGCUUGCAAACUGUGUUGGUCACCGGGCUCUCCUGUUGUCAUAGCGCCCUGUGCAAACACACAGCUCACACACCACAACGGCCGUCUCUUACCCUGUACUUGCCCGUGCCAUGCUAUAUAUGCCUUUAGUACAUUAUGUACUGAGGACAAGAGAGAAUGUUACUACAUUUUGUAAAGUGAGCUAUUUAUGGUGUUAAAGAAUAAGAUACCAUUAUCUGAGUCAGAAGGUGCAAGACUGGCUAAUACGUUACAGAAAAGGUAGUUGAUAAAUUGAAUACCUUUCAAGUAUAAGUAGAAGCAGCGAACAUUGUUAAGGUAUCAAAGAAUUCUAUUUAGUGGUUCCGCCAUUAAAAAUUGUGUCAAUAAAAGGCUUCCCUUUGGGUACGCUGCACAAAUUUCAGUCUUUACUGCGUUUAGAAACGUCAUCAUAUUGAAGUGUCAUUUUUUGCAAGAAUAAAAUGUAAAUGCAAGGCCAUCAAAAUGGUCAAAUUGUUUUGUCAGUAUCUUGCUACAGUUGGAUGUAUGUACAUGAUCAGGACCGUAAAUUAAAUUUCUUUCUCUGCAGGGAGUUGUCUAAGGUCAUGCAACCUGCUAAAACCAUGAUUCCGAGUCUUUCCUGGAUUGACUUAUCCCCGACAGAAUUCUCUAUUUACCGAUGAUGAUUUGACGGAAUGCAAUCUCAAUAUCACAGACUUGUUCCACCACAUGUAGGCUUCGUCCCUGAUUAAAGCUUUUACAUUCCUUACAGGAAUACAUAUG